rnacentral:rRNA from 1 species
CCGGCGACGGGUGGGUAACGCGUAUGCAACUUACCUAUCAGAGGGGAGACCGGACGAAGUCGGACUAAUACCGCAUGAAGCAGGGGCCCCGCAUGGGGAUAUUUGCUAAAGAUUCAUCGCUGAUAGAUAGGCAUGCGUUCCAUUAGGCAGUUGGCGGGGUAACGGCCCACCAAGCCGACGAUGGAUAGGGGUUCUGAGAGGAAGGUCCCCCACAUUGGUACUGAGACACGGACCAA